UACGUAGGGUGCAAGCGUUAAUCGGAAUUACUGGGCGUAAAGCGUGCGCAGGCGGUUGUGUAAGACAGAUGUGAAAUCCCCGGGCUCAACCUGGGAACUGCAUUUGUGACUGCACGGCUGGAGUGCGGCAGAGGGGGAUGGAAUUCCGCGUGUAGCAGUGAAAUGCGUAGAUAUGCGGAGGAACACCGAUGGCGAAGGCAAUCCCCUGGGCCCGCACUGACGCUCAUGCACGAAAGCGUGGGGAGCAAACAGG
rnacentral:rRNA from 1 species